UAGGGUGAACCUGCGGAGUGAUCAUUACCGAGUUUACAACUCCCAAACCCAAUGUGAACCAUACCAAACUGUUGCCUCGGCGGGGUCACGCCCCGGGUGCGUCGCAGCCCCGGAACCAGGCGCCCGCCGGAGGGACCAACCAAACUCUUUACUGUAGUCCCCUCGCGGACGUUAUUUCUUACAGCUCUGAGCAAAAAAUUCAAAAUGAAUCAAAACUUUCAACAACGGAUCUCUUGGUUCUGGCAUCGAUGAAGAACGCAGCGAAAUGCGAUAAGUAAUGUGAAUUGCAGAAUUCAGUGAAUCAUCGAAUCUUUGAACGCACAUUGCGCCCGCCAGUAUUCUGGCGGGCAUGCCUGUCCGAGCGUCAUUUCAACCCUCGAACCCCUCCGGGGGGUCGGCGUUGGGGAUCGGGAACCCCUCAGACGGGAUCCCGGCCCCGAAAUACAGUGGCGGUCUCGCCGCAGCCUCUCCUGCGCAGUAGUUUGCACAACUCGCACCGGGAGCGCGGCGCGUCCACGUCCGUAAAACACCCAACUUUCUGAAAUGUUGACCUCGGAUCAGGUAGGAAUACCCGCUGAACUUAAGCAUAUCAUAAGCGGAGGAA
rnacentral:rRNA from 1 species